UCAAUUUUCUACGACCGCACCUCACGCCACCAUAAGCAAUUUCACCCUCACCAUCUGGUCAUUUUUUUUAUUCAGAUACA